CGGCGAGUGAAGCGGCAACAGCUCAAAUUUGAAAUCUGGCUCUUUUAGAGUCCGAGUUGUAAUUUGCAGAGGGCGCUUUGGCUUUGGCAGCGGUCCAAGUUCCUUGGAACAGGACGUCACAGAGGGUGAGAAUCCCGUACGUGGUCGCUGGCUAUUGCCGUGUAAAGCCCCUUCGACGAGUCGAGUUGUUUGGGAAUGCAGCUCUAAAUGGGAGGUACAUUUCUUCUAAAGCUAAAUAUUGGCCAGAGACCGAUAGCGCACAAGUAGAGUGAUCGAAAGAUGAAAAGCACUUUGGAAAGAGAGUCAAACAGCACGUGAAAUUGUUGAAAGGGAAGCGCUUGCAGCCAGACUUGCUUACAGUUGCUCAUCCGGGUUUUUACCCGGUGCACUCUUCUGUAGGCAGGCCAGCAUCAGUUUGGGCGGUAGGAUAAAGGUCUCUGUCACGUACCUCCUUUCGGGGAGGCCUUAUAGGGGAGACGACAUACUACCAGCCUGGACUGAGGUCCGCGCAUCUGCUAGGAUGCUGGCGUAAUGGCUGUAAGCGGCCCGUCUUGAAACACGGACCAAGGAGUCUAACAUCUAUGCGAGUGUUUGGGUGUCAAGCCCGAGCGCGUAAUGAAAGUGAACGGAGGUGGGAACCCGCAAGGGUGCACCAUCGACCGAUCCUGAUGUCUUCGGAAGGAUUUGAGUAAGAGCAUGGCUGUUGGGACCCGAAAGAUGGUGAACUAUGCUUGAAUAGGGUGAAGCCAGAGGAAACUCUGGUGGAGGCUCGCAGCGGUUCUGACGUGCAAAUCGAUCGUCAAAUUUGGGCAUA
rnacentral:rRNA from 1 species